rnacentral:rRNA from 1 species
CCUACGGGAGGCAGCAGUAGGGAAUUUUCCGCAAUGGGCGAAAGCCUGACGGAGCAAUACUGCGUGAGGGAUGACGGCCUGUGGGUUGUAAACCUCUUUUCUCAAGGAAGAAGUUCUGACGGUACUUGAGGAAUAAGCAUCGGCUAACUCUGUGCCAGCAGCCGCGGUAAUACAGAGGAUGCAAGCGUUAUCCGGAAUCACUGGGCAUAAAGCGUCUGUAGGUUGUUUAGUAAGUCUGCUGUUAAAGACUGGGGCUUAACCCCAGAAAAGCAGUGGAAACUGCUAGACUCGAGUGUGGUAGAGGUAGAGGGAAUUCCUAGUGUAGCGGUGAAAUGCGUAGAUAUUAGGAAGAACACCAAUGGCGAAGGCACUCUACUGGGCCAUAACUGACACUGAGAGACGACAGCUAGGGGAGCAAACGGGGAUUAGAUACCCCCGGUAGUCCUAGCCGUAAACGAUGGAUACUAGAUGUUGCACGUAUUAACCCCGUGCAGUAUCGUAGCUAGUACGUAAGUAUCCGUCCGUCGGAGGUACGCGUCGCGAGAGUAGUAAACGUUAAAGUUAAGUAAGUUAGUUACGGUCGUUGUUAGACGUUGCCGACGGACGACGACGAGGGGAGGUUAGG